rnacentral:sRNA from 1 species
ACAAUGGAACCAUGAGAGGACUUCGAGAAAAGUUUCUGUUUUUAUGUAUGAUUAUGCUUUUUUCCUUCAAAUUUUGCUACUUUCUAGUUCCUGAAGAAGGCUAAUAACUUAAAUGGAUCUAAAUUAACAAAAGAGCAGUUUUUACAUAUUUUGAUGAAACUAUGGAUUCAAGAGUAAGAUACACUACCCUAGUGCAAGAGGUACUUUUAGCCUGUAAAAAUGCUUAGGUCCUAGCUAGUUUUGGUAUUCUGUCAAAAUACUGAGUACAUUUGAGAACUAUUUUAGAGGCCUUUUGUUUAAUUCUGUGGUUUAAAUGUGUAAAUUGGACCAACUUUAAGAAGUUUAAACACAUGGAUUAUCUGAAUUUCUAGUUUUCUAGUUGCUUUACUAUGUUUUUUACGUAUAUGCAUUAUAUUGAAAAAAUCUUUACUCACUUUAGCAGUGGACCCUCUAACCGCUAUAGAAAUGACCUUAGAGAAAAUUUCUGUGAUGGAAGUAGAUAAUGAAAAAUUUUUAAACAUUUAAUCCUGCUCUCUGGUAUUGCUGCAUAACUUGGAAAAUCUGUUCUUUUUACUUAGUGGUAUUGUUAAAUAGUCUACAUGAUCAAAAAUUCUUACUGUGAAGUAAGAAACUUAAGUUGAAAAUAAUUUGUCAUGGAGUGUCAUUAUUUUUAGGUGACUUAAAGUGAUGGUGUUGUUUUUAUUUCUUUAUAGGUCAUUUUAGAUCAUCAAAUUGCUUUUCUUUUCUUUUUUUCUUUUUUUUUGAGACGGAGUUUCACUUUUGUUGCCCAGGCUGUAAUGAGUGCAAUGGCGCGAUCUCGGCUCACCUCAACCUCCGCCUCCCAGGUUCAAGCAGUUCUCCUGCCUCAGCCUUCCGAGUAGCUGGGAUUACAGGCAUGCGCCACCACGCCCGGCUAAUUCUGUAUUUUUAGAGCCAGGGUUUCUCCAUGUUGGUCAGGCUGGUCUUGAACUCCUGACCUCAGGUGAUUCACUGCCUUGGCCUCCCAAAGUCCUGGGAUUACAGGUGUGAGCCAUCGCACCCAGUCAUCAGAUUGCUUUUCUAUGCAAUCUCAAGCUUUCUCAGCUUCCUUUCACUUAAAGAAAAUUACCCACUACAGCACUUUGGCUGUCUUGUCACUUGAGUUUAUAUUAAGUUAUACUUUUUUCUGCCAUUCUGUAAGUGCUUCCCAAAUUCUUUUUUUCUCUCUAUAAGGUAUCUCAGAUACAGCAAGGUGAAUGUAGUUUUCCUACAGAAAUGUCUGAAUUUAAAAAGUGCACGAAUCCUUUAUUAAUCUGAUUUUACAGGAGUUACCUCAGUGUAGAGUCCAGGGAUAUAUAUUUUUAUAAAACUCUUUCACUUAGUCCUCACCGUAAACCAACCAGUAAUAGAUCAGUAGUACAGAUUAGUCAUGGAUGAGUUUGGGAGGUAUGUGAUUGAUUUUUUGAUCUUGGCCUUCCUUUUUACACUUUGAAAGACCAGACACACUUUUCCUCUAAGUUUGAACCUUUAAACAACGUGGAGGAUUGGAUAUAAUUUCUGUUCAGCUAUGUACCCUUUCUAGCUCCUAUGAAAUAGAAGCAUGCGUAGUAGGAUAACAUUUAUUCCUCUCCCACAACUUAAGAAUAUUUUAAGUAAAAUCUGAAUAUUUUUAGUUCAGAGAAUUGUAAGUCGUUAAUUGGUAUUUAAUUAAUCCUUUUUUUUUUUUUUUUUUUUUGAGAAGGUUUCUCGCUCUGUGUCCCAGGCUGGAGUACAGUGGCGUGAUCUUGGCUCACUGCAUCCUCUGCCUUUCGGGUUCAAGCAAUUCUCCUGCCUCAGCAUCCCAGGUAGCUGGGAUUACAGGCAUACAUCACCAUGCCCAGCUAAUUUUUUUGUAUUUUUAGUAGAGACGGGUUUCACCAUGUUAGCCAGGCUGGUCUCUAACUCCUGACCUCAGGUGAUCCGCCUGCCCCGGCCUCCCAAAGUGCUGGGAUUACAAGUAUGAGCCACCACGCCCAGCCAAGGCUUCUAAAUUUUGUGAACUUACCUGUGGCUCCUCUGACUUAGAGCCAUUUUUAUUUUAUUUUAUUUUGUUUUAUGUUUUUGAGAAAGGGUCUUUUGCUUUGUAGCCCACGCUGAAGUGCGCUUAGGUGUUCGCAGCUCAUUGCACUCUCUACCACCCAGGCUCAAGUGACGCAUGUACCACCACCACAUCUGGCGUUUUUUUCUUGAUAGAGAUCAGGUUUCACUGUGUUGCCCAGGCUGGUCCCAAACUCCUGGGCUCAAGUAAUCUGCCUGCUUUGGCCUCCCAGAGUGCUGGGAUCGUAUGCGUGAGCCACUGCGCCCGGCCCUUACAAGCCAUUUUAAAACUGGUCCCCAAGAAGGCAGUGGUCCAUUACUUCCCAGUUGAAACUUUAGAUAUCCCAAAUAGCUGAUGAUUAGAGAGCUAGCUGGAGAGAUCUUGAGUUCCUUAGCUAUUAGCCAUUAUUUUAAAAAGAUAAUCUAGCUUUGAGAGACCUGGAAAUAGUAGUUUAUAGCUUCCAACAUUUUAAGGAAGGUACCAUUCUAUUUGGAUGAGUUCCAUUUUAGUUUACAGGAUUUUAUUUUUAUUUAUUUAUUUAUUUUUGAGACAGUUUCACUCUCGCCCAGACUGGAGUGCAAUGGUGUGAUCUUGGCUCACUGCAACCUCUGCUUCCCAGGUUGAAGCUAUUCUCCUGCCUUAGCCUCCCAAGUAGCUGGAAUUAACAGGCACCUGCCACCAUACCUGGCUAAUUUUUGUAUUUUUAAUAAAGACAGGUUUUCACCAUGUUGGCCAGGCUGGUCUUGAACUCCUGACCUCAGUUGAUGCUCCCACCUUGGCCUUCCAAAGUGCUGGGACUGCAGGCCUGAGCCACCGCACCUGGCCUUUCACAGGAUUUUAGAUAAUUUUACUAGAGCAUAGGAAUGUACCUAAACUGUUGUCAGGUAAAUAUAAACCAGUUUUUUUUUUUUUUUUUUUUUUUUUUUUAAGGAGCUCAUUUAUAAAAUACCAAUCCGCAGCUUUUUGAAAGCACCUAUCUUGUAAUUUGGUACCUUGGUACCUUACUCUAAUUUAGUUCAGCUCUCAGACAUCCCCCUUUAAAAACACAUCGCCUGACCAUGUUUUAUAUUCCAAAUAUAAUUGUAUUGGGUAGUGUGGGUGUUACAGAAAUUACCUCAAUUUGUGGGAGUUUGUGAAACAUCAAUAAUAGUUGUAAAGCAGGAAUUGUAAAACAAGACUGCUUUAUAAUCAGUGUAAUAAUAGUUCUUUUUUUUUUUUUUUAAGCACAUUCCAUGUGCCUGGCAAGGGUCUGAUAAGCAGUUUACCUUUAUUGACUCAUUUGCUUUUCACAACAACCCUAUGAGACUAUUGUCCCAGUGAAUUUAAAUAACAUGGACCAAAGAUUCACAUCUUUGUAAUUUGGGAGUGAACCUAGGCAGUCUAAUAGCAGAGCCCACUUUUUGUAACUUCUCUUUCUUACAUUGCCUAAAAAGUUAACUCAUUUAUAUCUGCAUUUUUUCCUAAAGAAAUUUAUUUGAAUAAAAUAAGAGUUACUUCAAUUUAAAGUAAACCAUAAAAGAGUGAAUAGUGAUAGAAUGUCAUGUUUCCCGCCCUAAAUUUGGAAAGAGGCAUUCCUUAAAUUUGCUUAUUUUGGGGAAAUACAAAGGGAGCAUAAUAUUUUGAUAAAUGGGAUUCGUUUUCUAGAAAAGCCAUUCCUGUUGAAUCAUGUUAGCAUUUUAUGGUAAUGCUAAUCAUGGUGUAUUUUUCAUUCACUGUGUAUUUAGUAGGUAGUAAACCUGGAACAUCCUCAAAAGCUGGAAGUGAUUAAAGUUUUAGUUUUUGUUUUUGUUUUUGUUUUGUUUUGUUUUGUUUUGAGACGGAGUCUUUGUCACCCAGGCUGGAGUGCGGUGGCGCAAUCUCAGCUCACUGGAAUCUCCGCCUUUUGGGUUCAAGAGAUUCUGCUGCCUCAGCCUUCCAAGUAGCUGGACUACAGGCGUGUGCCACCAUGCCUGGCUAAAUUUUGUAUUUUUUGUAUAGAUGGGGUUUCGCCAUGUUGGCUAGGCUGGUUUCAAACUCCUGGUCUCAAAUGAUCCAUCCAUCUCAGCCUCCCAAAGUGUUGGGAUUAUAGGCAUGAGCCACCAUGCUCGGCCUAAAAGAUUCUAUUUUAACUAAUUGUUCACAUUUAUAGUAUAUAGUUUCUAGAAAAGUAGAUAUAAACAUGGAUGUUUUAUUCAGAGUGCUAUAAAGUAGCAUACAAUGAAUACUUCAGUUUGGUCCACAGUAAAAAUUAAUAAGCCUUGCUGAUCUCAAGGUUAGUUACUACUCUUGAUCUUUAUUAACUCUAUAUCUUUUCCCUGUCAAAUAUCUUAAGUAUGUUGACAAGUUAAUCCAGUUUUUCCAAGAAUGUGCAUAGCGUAUUUGAGGGCAGGAUCAAGCCUCAAGGAUUCAGAGAAAUGGUUUUAAAUUAAAUCAAUGUGAUUUAGUGAAUGGGCAGGAGUUUGUACAGCCUAUGAUACUGCAUAGACAUUAAUAUCCUAGAGUUUGAAUGGUUCAGAUGAAAAUAUUUCAGCUUUAUUUUUGUUAAUUCUACUAAUUUACUUUGCUGCAGGAGUGGAGUCAACAUAUCAAUGGAGCAAGUCACAGUCGUCGAUGCCAGCUUCUUCUUGAAAUCUACCCAGAAUGGAAUCCUGACAAUGAUACAGGACACACAAUGGGUGAUCCAUUCAUGUUGCAGCAGUCUACAAAUCCAGCACCAGGAAUUCUGGGACCUCCACCUCCCUCAUUUCAUCUUGGGGGACCAGCAGUUGGACCAAGAGGAAAUCUGGGUGCUGGAAAUGGAAACCUGCAAGGACCUAGACACAUGCAGAAAGGCAGAGUGGAAACUAGCAGAGUUGUUCACAUCAUGGAUUUUCAACGAGGGAAAAACUUGAGAUACCAGCUGUUACAGCUGGUAGAACCAUUUGGAGUCAUUUCAAAUCAUCUGAUUCUAAAUAAAAUUAAUGAGGCAUUUAUUGAAAUGGCAACCACAGAGGAUGCUCAGGCCGCAGUGGAUUAUUACACAACCACACCAGCGUUAGUAUUUGGCAAGCCAGUGAGAGUUCAUUUAUCCCAGAAGUAUAAAAGAAUAAAGAAACCUGAAGGAAAGCCAGAUCAGAAGUUUGAUCAAAAGCAAGAGCUUGGACGUGUGAUACAUCUCAGCAAUUUGCCGCAUUCUGGCUAUUCUGAUAGUGCUGUUCUCAAGCUUGCUGAGCCUUAUGGGAAAAUAAAGAAUUACAUAUUGAUGAGGAUGAAAAGUCAGGCUUUUAUUGAGAUGGAGACAAGAGAAGAUGCAAUGGCAAUGGUUGACCAUUGUUUGAAAAAAGCCCUUUGGUUUCAGGGGAGAUGUGUGAAGGUUGACCUGUCUGAGAAAUAUAAAAAACUGGUUCUGAGGAUUCCAAACAGAGGCAUUGAUUUACUGAAAAAAGAUAAAUCCCGAAAAAGAUCUUACUCUCCAGAUGGCAAAGAAUCUCCAAGUGAUAAGAAAUCCAAAACUGAUGGUUCCCAGAAGACUGAGAGUUCAACCGAAGGUAAAGAACAAGAAGAGAAGUCCGGUGAAGAUGGUGAGAAAGACACAAAGGAUGACCAGACAGAGCAGGAACCUAAUAUGCUCCUUGAAUCUGAAGAUGAGCUACUUGUAGAUGAAGAAGAAGCAGCAGCACUGCUAGAAAGUGGCAGUUCAGUGGGAGACGAGACCGAUCUUGCUAAUUUAGGUGAUGUGGCUUCUGAUGGGAAAAAGGAACCAUCAGAUAAAGCUGUGAAAAAAGAUGGAAGUGCUUCAGCAGCAGCAAAGAAAAAGCUUAAAAAGGUGGACAAGAUGGAGGAACUUGAUCAAGAAAACGAAGCAGCGUUGGAAAAUGGAAUUAAAAAUGAGGAAAACACAGAACCAGGUGCUGAAUCUGCUGAGAACGCUGAUGAUCCCAACAAAGAUACAAGUGAAAACGCAGAUGGUCAAAGUGAUGAGAACAAGGAGGACUAUACAAUCCCAGAUGAGUAUAGAAUUGGACCAUAUCAGCCCAAUGUUCCUGUUGGUAUAGACUAUGUGAUACCUAAAACAGGGUUUUACUGUAAGCUGUGUUCACUCUUUUAUACAAAUGAAGAAGUUGCAAAGAAUACUCAUUGCAGCAGCCUUCCUCAUUAUCAGAAAUUAAAGAAAUUUCUGAAUAAAUUGGCAGAAGAACGCAGACAGAAGAAGGAAACUUAAGAUGUGCAAGGAGAUUUAAUGAUUUCAAAGAAAAUAAUGGUUCUUUGUUUUUAAUGUUAACCUUUUUUAAAUACAAUACUGAUAGUUAGAAGAAAACUAUUGUACUCUUUUGUUUUAGUGGAGAAAUAAUAGAUGUCUGUUCAUGUGUUAAGUGUUAUAGCAAAAAAAAUACACAUGGUUAAGUUAAUGAAUAGUUUUUGUUUUAUCAGAAUGGCAACAGACAGAAGUACUUUGUAGAGAUUGACUUCCUAAGCUACUUAAGACAACUUGCACCACUAAGAAAAAAAUGUAGAACCAUUUGGAAAAAUGAAAUUUAGUAGUUCCAAGUUUCAAAGAAAUGUCAACAUUUUAUUCCAUUCAAUAAAGAACAAAACCAAUAGUGUUUUUAUUACUUUCAUCUGAAACAUUCCAUGUUUUAAUCUGAGCCUUGCAGACUUUGAUUUGGAGUUUGAACCCGUUUUGGUUGCAUUUCAUUUUUGGAGAACUUAAUUAACGUGAGAUUGGCAAUUGAAACGCAGGUGCAGUUUUCUGUUAAUGUCAUGCUGUUGUUUAGGUAAUAAGAAAUAUUAAGUAAUUGGCUUUAGAUUUUGUAAUUUUUUUCCCUGAGUUCCUGCUAGAUUUCGUAUUCUAGUAGUCAAUGUAUUUUCAGUGAAAUGUAAAAAUAUUCCCGUUAUCUUUGACCAGUAUUAAUUUUUGAGAUCUUACUGCUUGUCACUUGAAUCCCGUGAUUGUCAUACAUCUCUGGUAUAAGCAACAUUUGAUUUUUGAAGUGUGUAGACCAUCUCUUCAUAUUUUCAAGUUGUAAUUUUACAUUUCUGCAUUUUUAAAACAGUUUGGCCAUAAUCCUAGAUGCACGCUUCUAAUUCAUGUACCUGCACAUGUGACCUUUGUGAACAGAAAUUUGCAUGUAUAAUUUGUGUUUACUUGUAACUUUCUGGUUAUAUACUGCUUAUAUCUGUGGAUUCAAGUUACUGAAGUGAAUACCAAUAAAAAAGAAAACCCUAGGCCAUGUUAAUUGGUUAUACAUGUUUGGAAUGUUAA